rnacentral:rRNA from 1 species
ACAACGGAGAGUUUGAUCCUGGCUCAGGAUGAACGCUAGCGGCAGGCUUAAUACAUGCAAGUCGAACGGGAUUUGGAUAGCAAUAUCUGAUGAGAGUGGCGCACGGGUGCGUAACGCGUAUGCAACCUACCUUUAACAGGGGGAUAGCACCGAGAAAUCGGUAUUAAUACCCCGUAGUAUCAUUUAUUGGCAUCGAUAGAUGAUUAAAGUUCCGGCGGUUAAAGAUGGGCAUGCGUGCCAUUAGCUAGUUGGUGAGGUAACGGCUCACCAAGGCCACGAUGGCUAGGGGUUCUGAGAGGAUUAUCCCCCACACUGGUACUGAGACACGGACCAGACUCCUACGGGAGGCAGCAGUAAGGAAUAUUGGGCAAUGGACGCAAGUCUGACCCAGCCAUGCCGCGUGCAGGAAGACGGCCUUAUGGGUUGUAAACUGCUUUUGUCAGGGAAUAAACCUGGAUACUAGUAUUCAGCUGAAGGUACCUGAAGAAUAAGCAUCGGCUAACUCCGUGCCAGCAGCCGCGGUAAUACGGAGGAUGCGAGCGUUAUCCGGAUUCAUUGGGUUUAAAGGGUGCGCAGGCGGGCACUUAAGUCAGGGGUGAAAUACUACGGCUCAACCGUGGAACUGCCUUUGAUACUGAUUGUCUUGAAUUUAGUUGAAGUGGGCGGAAUGUAGCAUGUAGCGGUGAAAUGCAUAGAUAUGCUACAGAACACCGAUAGCGAAGGCAGCUCACUAAGUUAAUAUUGACGCUCAUGCACGAAAGCGUGGGGAUCAAACAGGAUUAGAUACCCUGGUAGUCCACGCUGUAAACGAUGAUUACUCGUUGUUGGCGAUACACCGUCAGCGGCUAAGCGAAAGUGAUAAGUAAUCCAC